rnacentral:lncRNA from 1 species
GACGGAGGGUGUAUGAGCUACUUCUAUCCCAAAUACAGAGACGGAGGACGGGGAGAGGCGAGCAACGAGCGGGCGGCGACGGGGGACGACGGGGCGGAGAGAGGAGGAGGAGGCGACGGCGCAGAGGAUUCUCCGGCGCCGCCCGCCCUCCCGCACGCUCGCAGCUCGCAGCUCGUGGCGCCGUCCUCCCCCCGUCGCUGCCCGCCGCCCGCCGCUAUACCAUCCCAUUCUUGCCGCCCGGGAAGACACUCAGCCCAAUCCCAUGCGCCUGUACAGUUGUGCGGGAGGAGCAAGGGCCAAGAGCACGGCACCUGCCCCUCGGCAUCGGACACGCUGGCCUCCUCACUGCUCUCUCCUUCUUGUGCUUGUGCAGGCAGGAGGCGGAGGCUAUGUCCAAUUACUCCCUUUUGUGUGAAUACUAUUGGGCUAGGCCCCCAGAAGCUGGGUGUAUUUUUAAGAGGAUUGUAUGCUGCAGGUGCAGCAGCCAUGGAGGAUGGAGGCAGCAGAGACUCUGAUCAUGGCGUGGAGACGUCGUCGCCGCCGAAGCUGUAGGGAGCGGAGCUGGAGCAGGUGGUGCUGGUGCUGCUGACCUUGGAGGCGUCGUACUCCUGGCUGAGGCAGCGCAGCCGGUUGAGCUCCGGCAAGAUCUCCUUCCCGAGGUCCGGCCGGUCCUUCUUCCUCAGCUCGGCGCACCGCAGCGCCAGCUUGGCGAACACCAAGGCCUCCUCCACCGGCCAGUCGGUCACCAUCGGGUCGAGCACCUCCUGGAAGGUCCCCCUCUCGAUGGCGCUCUCGACGUGGUGGGUGAGCCCCAUGGGCGACCUCGCCGUGAUGAUCUGCAGCAGCAGGAUCCCCAGUGAGUAGAUGUCGGACAUGGUGGUCAGCAUCCCGGUCUGCUGGUACUCCGGGUCGAUGUAGCAGAAGGUGCCCGCCGUCGAGGUCAUCCGGUACUGCGUGGCCUCGGCGGCGGCAGCGGACUGCGGGACGAGGCGGGCGAGGCCGACGUCGCUGAUCUUGCUGACGAAGUUGUGGUCGAGGAGGAUGUUGGCCGGCUUCAGGUCGCGGUGGACCAGCGGCUCGGGCUUCGCCUGGUGGAGGAAGAGGAGGCCGGUGGCGAUGUCGGCGGCGAUGCGGAACCGGAUGUUCCAGGGGAUCGGCAGCGUCUUCCCCCGCCGGCACAGCCGGUCCUCCAGGCUGCCGUAGUCCAUGUACUCGUACACCAGGCACCCGUACUCCGGGCAUGCUCCCAGCAGCAGC